rnacentral:lncRNA from 1 species
CGGAAUCCAUCAUCAUCUCUGACUCUGGCCGAUCGAUCGAUCCUGCUGCGUCGAUCUCGUCGAGGCGGCUCCGUGCUGUCGAUCUCCCGCUCUGUUUCUUGGAGAGAACGUACGUGAGCUGUGUGGAGAGAGAGAGAGAGAGAGAGAGAGAGAGAGAGAGAGAGAGAGGCAGAGGGGCGUGGACUGGAGCAGUGGAAGGUUGGGGGAAAUGGAAGAUGAUGGUGGUGGAGAGACGAGUCGAGCGGCAGAGACGAGUGUGGAAGCAAGAGCCACGCCACAAGGACGUAAUAAGGGACGACGACGGAGAGCCGGAGAGAGAUAGGGCUGCGCCGUGGGGCCCACACAGGGCCCAGGGGGAGGGGCAGCAGGUGUUUAGAGACGCCGUGGUCACUCAAACCAUGUGUAAGCCAAGUGUUUAAAGAUUAUUAGGUUUGAUCCACCAUUUCUUUCUGUGUAACCGCACAAGAAAAUAGUUAGGUACCCCCUCCGUCCUAAAUUACAAUUCAUUUCAAGAAUCUUAGAGUGUCAAAACAUCUCAAGUUUGAUCAAAAUGUAUAAGAAAAACUACAAAGAUUUAUAACAUUAAAUAGAUAUACUAUGAAAAUAUAAUUAAUGAAGAACCUGAUAAUACUUAGUUGGUAUCAUAAAUGUUAUUAUCCUAUCAUAUAAAUUUGAUCAAAUUUGAGAUGCUUUGACUCUCCAAAAUUCUUGUAAUGACUUAUAAUUUGGAUGGAGGAAGUAGAUAAUAAAAGCUAAGAAUUUACUAACUGUUAGAGUAUCCCGAGAAUUUCCAAAAUCUACUCUCAAUCUUGAGAAAAAAAAACAUUAAAAGUAUACACACGCAUGUAUGGAUUGUCCAAUCUCGAGGUGGACGGAUCACUUGCCCUACUUAUUAUUCCUAUGUCCUUCCACCUUUAGAUUGACGGAUCGAUACACAUAUGUAUAUAUCCACGUGAUUUGAUCAAUUUCUCCU